GGACAUGUAGCUCAGUGGUAGAGCAUUUGCCUAGCAUGCACAAGACCCUGAGUUCAAUCCUCAGUACCA
rnacentral:tRNA from 1 species